AAACCUAUUUUAACAAGAAAAAAAACAAAGAAUCAAUCAUCCAGAGGAUAAAACAAAACACUGAAAAAAUUGCAGUCACAAGCAUUUAUACAAACAGGUAGUAAGCAGAAAUCCAGGGCAUAAAUGGAUACCUCCUCCAACGUCCUCCAUGUAGUGGCGGUGCCUUAUCCUGGUAGAGGCCACAUCAACCCCAUCAUCAACCUCUGCAAAUUACUAGCUUCCAGGAAAAACGACAUUCAAAUCACCGUCGUCGUCACCGAAGAGUGGCUUGGCUUCAUAGGCUCCGACCCGAAACCCAAUAACAUCAGCUUCCGUACCAUACCCAACGUCCUUCCCUCUGAGCUAGUUCGUGGCGCCAACUAUCCCGCCUUCUACGAAGCCGUGAUGACGAAGAUGGAAGCUCCGUUCGAAAAGCUACUGGAUCAAAUUCAUCCUCCGGUGACCGCCAUUAUAGCCGACAUCGAGCUUCUCUGGGCAGUUCCCGCAGGCCGCUGGAGAAAUAUUCCGGUGGCUUCGCUUUCCACACUGUCGGCGUCGGUUUUUGGUCUCCUCUUCCGAAAUAGGGAGCUGAAUUUAUUAGGUAACAUCAUGGCUACCUCCGACGUUGACUCAGUCACCGUCAGCCACGUGGCGGCGAUGCCAUUCCCUGGCCGAGGCCACAUCAACCCUAUGAUGAACCUCUGCAAGUUACUAGCUUCAUCAAAAAACCCCCAACUUCUCAUCACCUUCGUCGUCACCGAAGAGUGGCGCGGGUUUAUCAGCUCCGACCCGAAACCCGACAACAUCCGGUUGGCCUCCAUCCCAAACGUCAUCCCUCCCGAGCGUCUCAAAGCCGCCGACUUUCCGGGCUUCUAGGAAGCUGUCAUGACCAAGAUGGGAGCUCCGUUUGAGCUACUGCUUGAUCGGCUCGAGCCGCCGGUAUCAGCUGUCAUAGCUGAUAUUGAGGUUCGGUGGGGUGUUGGGUUUGGGAUUCGGAGGAAUAUUCCGGUGUCUUUGUUUUGGACUAUGUCAGCCACCUUCUUGUCCAUGCUACACCGUUUUAAUGUUUUCUCACAAAACAAGAACAUCCCAGUUGAAUUUUUUGAUUGUGGAGAUCAAAUACCAGGGAUUUCUUCUACUGAUUUAGCAGACCUUGGAGAAGUGUUCAAAGGAAACGACCCAAAAGUCAUUAAGCUUGCUCUGGAGUGCAUUUCAUGGGUUCCAAAAGCACAGUAUCUUCUGUUUACUUCCGUUUAUGAGCUUGAACCUCAAACAUUCUCACAUUUACAAGCAGAAUUCCCAUUCCCUGUGUACCCAAUUGGUCCCGCCAUACCUUAUCUAGAGCCUGAACACAAUUGCUCUGUUUCAGCUGCUGACAAUAGCAUUGACUAUCUGAAAUGGCUUGAUUAUCAGCCGAAGGGCUCUGUCUUGUACAUCUCGUUGGGCAGUUUUCUUUCAGUUUCGAGCACCCAAAUGGAUGAAAUUGCAGCAGGGCUGAGGAAUAGCGGGAUUCGGUACUUGUGGGUUGCUAGGGGGGAGGCUUCUCGGUUGAAAGAGAGCUGCAAUGGUGAAAUGGGGUUGGUGGUGUCUUGGUGUGAGCAACUGAAAGUGUUGUGCCAUUCUUCUGUUGGUGGUUUUUGGACUCAUUGUGGAUGGAACUCCACUCUGGAAGCUGUUUUCGCUGGUGUUCCAAUGCUUACUUUCCCUCUGUUCCUUGAUCAACUGCCCAACAGCAGGCAAAUUGUUGAAGAGUUGAGGAUUGGCGGGAGGGUUAAGACAGAGGUACAAGAUGAGAAAUUGAUGACAAGGGAAGAAAUUGCUGAGCUCGUGAAGAGAUUUAUGGAUCUUGAAAACAGUGAUGGGAAAGAAAUGCGGAAAAGAGCAAAAGAACGCAGCGAUUUGUGUCAUCAAGCAAUUGCAAAAGGGGGUUCAUCUGAUACAAACCUUGAUAAUUUUAUCAGGGAUAUAGGCAAAGCUGCAACCUUCUAGCGGACUGAUGCUCCUGCCUUUUAGUAAGACACAACUUACUUCUCAAUAUGCAAAUUAGCCCUCAUCCAUGUACGACGU